AAUUGCAUAAGAAGUUGAAUCAGCACAGAGAAAGAAGAUUGGGAAAGAGUUUUUUGGCAGAGAGUGCAUCAAACUACAAACCAAUUAAACCCAUUAAAGUUGCAGAUGUGAAGACAGAGUUUAAAAGCAAUAAAGCAUUGGGUGAUGGUCCGAUCACCGGCGGAGUCAGAAGGGACCAUUUCUGUUCAAAAAUCAAAAUGGGGAGCAACAACAAUAGCAAUGGUUUCAAUUCUUUAUUUCAACGGGAGAAAGAGAGAGAGAGAGAGACCUUGGCAGUAGGUGGGUUUGGCGCUGGUGGGUGCGACUGGGGGAGGCAAUUUUCUCGAAGGGGUGCACCGAUUGUCACCGGAGGUGGUGGUUGGCGGGUACUGGGAGUGGUGGUGGUCGUCCCUGGCGGUGGGUGGCUCGGUGGUGGUCGGCGAUCGUUCCUCCUCCUCCUCUCUCUCUCUCUCUCUCUCUCUCUCUCUCUCUCUCUCUCUCUCUCUCUCUCUCUCUCUCAUCCGGCGUAUAUACGUGCGUGUGGGUUGUGUAGGAAACCUAAUCUGGCUACGUGGCCGCAUGUGGUCCACAUGUGGCCUUCAAGGCAAAAUUACAUUUAUGGGCAGCCAAGCAAAACUGAAUGGGCAGCAAUUGAGGGGUAAAUUGGUCCAAAUUGCCCAAAUGUGGCAGGCCGAAAACCUUUUAUUAUAUAAGGGAGGAAAAAUGAACUCCAAUUAUACAAGUAGACGAAACAACCCAAGUUUCACAGCCCUCAGAACAAAAAGACACAAGUAAUAUACAAGUCCAAAACAACCCAUUCUACCUUCUCCUUGAGAAAUCAAUACAAGACUUACAAUCUCUAUAAGCCCACCCCAUCAUACCACUAGAAAUUGCCCGUGCCUUCAAUUGCCCGUGCACAACACGUUUUUUAACACGACUAAAAUGAAUUAACUUCUAAAAUCUGAAAUCUGAGGAGUGCAAUUGUGCCCCUACUUGAAGGCACCAAUUCAAAAACAUUUGACAUAAAAUAAUGAAAAACUUUCAUGCACCCUCAACACAAAAGCUACUUAAUCUCAAUAAAAGAUAUUACCCAAGGAAUCAAACCAAAUGCAAAAUUGUUAAAAAAAAAUUAGGGAGCCUUUAUUCAAGAUUACAUCAACAAAACUGCUAUUUUUUUCAGUAAACGUGUCAACAAAUUUGUACAUUCAAGGAAACACAGUAAGAACACAAACAGUGAUCAAAGCAAACACCAAAGUUAUAAUGAAGCUUCCUCCUUCAUUUUCAAAGCACCAAUUUAAUCACUUUCGUAGCCAAAAUAACUAUUUUCCUUGAAACAGCCUGAAGCCAAAAUAAAAUUCCAAUUGACUGAAGUCAAAGAUAAAUUAAAAAGACGCAAAUCUACAUCAAAGAACCACAAGUGAUCAACUAAGUUUCCUUUUUUUUUUUUUUUUUGAUAAGCAACGUACUAACUUAUAAAAUAAUCCUAGAGAAGCAAAAACUAAAUAGGCAAAAAAAAAAAAAUAGUAACUUGAUAUGGAACAAAACCUUCCGUUUUUACUUACCAAUUGCUCCCCUACGCAUGAGUUGACACCUCCCAAGUAACCGAGUUUCUUUAAAGAUCUAACAUCAAACAUCAAGAUGUUAGAGAACCAACAAAGCCAAGAUUAGAGGUAUAAGAUAUUCUAUACAUGCACAAUUU